CGAGGUCACACCUGCAGCCUGUCGCUGCCGGGAAGCCACAGUCAUGGGGCCCAGGCCUGCCGGUGCCUCCUUUCUGCUGAGGCUGGAUCUGGAAGUGGCCAGGGUGCAUCGCAGACAGACACCUUCUAAGGCGCCACCGAUUUCCUCCCCCUGCCUGGCCUUUCUCAGUAUGAAAACAAUCUGUUAUUUCUCUCCCAGAUUCAAAAAGCCAGUGAGCCCACGGAAGACCUCCCCGCGCCCGCAUCUCCCUCCUGCUUGCAGCGCGUUCCCUGGCUCCUUUGCCACCAGCGUGUCGGCCUUGCUGGCAUUGUCCCGUGUCUCUGCAGCGCUCCAUCACGUCUGCCCGCCUCAGGGGCACCAGGGGAGUCACGUUGCCCGGUCCAUCAGAAACACGUGCCCCAGAUCAGUGUCCCAAUGCACAUUAUCAGAGAUGUUGGUGAAACCCCAAAGAUCAAGGAGCUUCAAGCUCAGCCCCUUGGAACAAUUGUGAAUGGGCUGUUUGCAGUCCUGAAG
rnacentral:lncRNA from 12 species